AUGAAUCUGACGGCCUCUCAACAUCGAUUCUUCCGUUCAAUCCGCUAUAGCAAAUCCGAUAUCCGUCUUAUAUUCUUCUGCAACACUUCAAAAAUUCUCUCUAACUCAGUUCCGCCGCACAUCAAUAGCAGUUUCAGCAUCCCGUUCGCAUCAACUCCAGACGGUUCCGUAACUUUCAAUUUCUUUUGCUUGUAA